GAGCUGCUGGGAGAGUUAUGGGUCCUGGAAGGCAGAGAGGGAGAGGUUCACACCGCGGGAGGUAUCUGCGACAGAGAGGAAUUAGAGCUGCUGGGAGAAUCAGGCAUAGGGGGAGGGGAGAGCGGUCCAGCAGGAGGUAACGGCAGGGAAUGAGUUUGGUGGUAGGCAGGUGGUGGCCGGGAAAACAACAGAGGGCAGGAUGGAAAAGUUUGCGGCGCAGUAGACUUAGCUAAAAGUAUCUCAGCGGGAGCACAAGACUUAAUGAGAGAUGGGCGUGUUCUCAGAAUAAGAAGGGCUUGGACAUAAGGGAGUUCUAAUAACUUGUUGCCAGCUUGACAAAAAUCAUACAAGUUCCUGAGAAUGCAGGGGUCAAAUGUUCCUUUUUUGGGCCAAGGCUUGCCGAUAAGCGGAUAGGUUGGCCAGACCUCCUGGCAGUAAAAAGUUAGUUGUUUAGUUUUUAUGGUACCUUUAAUUUUUAGAGUACUUAAAUUGGAAAUUAGGCAUUGUAAAGGCGUCUUUUGGGAGUUAGAAAAUACGUUCCCCAUGACUGAUUCAGGCAAGAAAAAAACCGGAGGUCCAGAAAAAGUCGUCACUUAUUUGUGGUACCACGCGGCGGCUACGGUUCCAAAAACUCGUAAAUUCCAGUCGUCACUGAGAGAUUUACGAAUGGAGUCUACAUGGGGUCAGUAACAGUUUUGCCCGUGAAAGCGCAAGGCUUUAAGGGAAGUGAGGCAUUCUUUCAGUGUGGGCGGUCCCAAAGAUCCCUGCUUUGGGCUAUCCAAACCCAAAGAACGUGAGAGAUUUUGUGGACGCAGGUUUGCCCAGAAAGAACCCUGCCCUGGGCAGUCCUAAGGACAUGAAAAUACACAGACCCACGCAGACGGGGAGAACAUUCCACUGGGGCUGCCCAGUGCGAAAAGUUCCCCAGGGAGUGCUCACCUGAAAUCAGUCUGGCCGAUGUGGAGUGCAGGCGGCUGGCGACAGGAACGUCUCGGGAGAGGAAAAAGUUCGGGUUUAAUCCAGGAUGUUAUCUGGUUAUCGGCGAGGAAACUCUGGGUAUGUGGCCCAAGAGUCAGUUGCCUGCCGAUCGAGUCAUGGCACCAAAUGAUAGAGUUAUUUCCAAAAGAUGAAAAAUAUUAACAAAAGAUGAGAAAUAUAAAAUAAAAAGCGGCCUUUAUUCUGAGAACACGGAGAGAGAUGACCGGCACCCCCACUGCUGGCGUCCAGCGACCUCUCCGGCGGACACGUGGUGUGGGGGCCUGUAAAUAGCCUCGGUUUGGGGUGAAACCUAAGGCGGGCAUUAGGGAUAUACAGGUAGCCCAUUGGUCCUAGGUUUGGCGCCAUAUGUAAAUCCCCAGGGGCGGGAAGAUGGCGUCACAGGUAACUUCCUAGGGGCAGGGCAAGAUGGGGCUUCCUGCUUCCGGUUGUGGCUUUCCUGGCUACAGUGUCGUGUCUGGGCCAAAACCUUUCAGUGAGUUCGAUCCCCAGUACCAAUAAAAAAGAAAAGACAAAAAAAAUAAUGUAAUUAGAAAUAAAGUGUGAAGCUCAGUGUGGUAGCGUGUGCCUCUAAUCCCAGCACUUGAGAGGCAGAGGCAGGAGGAGGAUCACUGAAAAUUCAGGCCAGCCUAGGCUACAAAGUGAGUUCAAGCCCAGUCUCAUCUAUAGAGCAACACCUUGUCUGCAAAAAACAAAACAAAAACCCCUGGAAAUAAAGUAUGAAGUUUUCCUAGAAUGUACACAUUACUGGGCUAAUAUUCACCUUUUGCUGGACUAAUACAUUCCUGAUAGCCUUAGUAGCAUCUUUUGGCGGGAGGAAUUAAUAUGCAAGAGUUCUACCCUGUUCACAAUUUGUCCUGAGACAAGUGCUGAAACGUUUUGCUGGUCAAAAUCCAAAGGGUAGUGGGUUUGACGAGGAGUUCUGAAGCUGAUGAGUACCAAGGUAUGGCAGCAGUAGGUCAGCAGGCCGUCUCAUUGUUCAUACUGUAAUUACAGGUCUCCUUGUACUUCUGAGGUGGCAUAUUAUUGGUCCUUAAGGUUUGUUCGUAUUUAAUCUCUCUUUGAUGUCAUAAAUGAUGCUGAUUUUAUGAUCGCCUAGGUGACAUAGUUGUUGCUCUGAACUGGUUUUCUUGGGAUGUCAGUAUCUGAAUUGCCUUGGCGUCACUAACAGUAGAGAAGCCCCUUACUGCAGAACUGAGUAUUGGGCCAAAUCCCCUGCCAUCCUGCAUCCCAAGUGAGUGGAAGUGAUUGGAUCCUCGGUGACAGGCAAAGGUCAGUGCUUAGUCAUUCCCAGAGAACACAACUGAAAAUCAGCCUUUAACUAAAGAGCCCUCCAUACUAGAGACAAGGCUUUCCACUCUAGUUCACAAGGCUGACAGAGAAAGAUGAGCAAAAGAAUGAGAACACAAGCCAAUAAAAUGCCCCAAAGCUCCCAACUUCCCCAACUGAUCCAUGAGGCAUCAAAAGAGAGCAAACCAAAAGCCACACAGCUGAAUCAUGUGAAAUGAUGUCAGAGGAGAUAACAAGACAGAUCAAUAAGGCAUUUGGAAAGCUCACACAAGAAAUUAGCAAACAGAUAAUGGGCCAAAUGAAACAAUCAGCAAGUCUAUGGGAGACAUUUUUUAAAAGUGCUAGCAAAGGUAAAUAAAAUGAUGCAAAACAUAAAUGACCAGCAUAGAAAAGAGUAAGAGUUCAUAAAAACACUCUAAAUAGAAAUUUAGGAGAUUAAAAAUUCUAUCUAAAGUAUGGGCAACAGAGUAGCCAAUGUGAGGACAGAGGGUCAGCACUAGAAAUUAAGGCUGUGGUCAGUGACCAGUUCAUGAAAGAUACAGGUAUUCCUCAUGAACAACUUCUCAUAUGGCUGUACAGUUAUGACUGAGGCUCACUGUUUCGACUUAACAACUGGCCUUUUUUGGUACAGUUCUGUACAUCUUGUUUACACAGCCUCAGUGCCUUUUUUUAUGGUACCAGGGAUCAAACUCAAGACCUACAGCUUUCCAGGCAGGCGCUUAUGCUGCUGAGCUAAAUCCCUAGCCCCCAUGAUUCACACUGUUAUAAUAAAAAUGAUAAACCAUCUUAUUACUCAUCGCAUAAGCUGUACUGAAUUAUACUAACAUGUAAAAUAUAAAACAUCGCUUUCUUCACAUUUAGGUAACACACCAGGAACUAAUGGGAGUAAUAACAUCUGGAUUCCAUGGUAGCCAGCACAGGUGAGGUCUAAGGAGGGAUUAGGAAGGCCCAGGAAGAUGGAAAUCUGCUGGGCUAGAGGAGGACGGAGGGCCUGUGGUUGAGCCAACACUUCCCUUCACCACUCCCCCACUCCUCACCUCUCUCCACACUCAGGAAUCCUUUGUGAUGCCUCUGGACUCCUCACCCUCCCCCACUCAUCACCCCUCACCCACUGGUCACCCCUCCCUAGACUCAGGAGCCCUUUGUGAUGCGUCUGGAAUCCCCAAUUCCCAAGAGAACUCUCAGACUUCAGUUGCCUGAGGGUAACACUACAGUUCAGAUGAUAAGGAGGUUUUCUCCUGAAAAUCCUGGACAAACCCCAGUUCCACUCCUCGGGCAACAGAUGUCAUCCCUGCCUCUGCUGUGGACUGGUGGUGCUCACCUCUGGACCAGGCUAGCUUUCCGGCUAACUGGCAAAAAGAACACUAGAAAGGUUCCAAAGUCUAGAAGGCAUCCAUGGAAGGGGACUGAGAGAUUACAUGACCUACAAAUCACACUUCCAACAUCUCCAAGGGAGAAUUAUAAGGAAUUACAAUGCAGCAGAGGCCCAACCUAUGCAGUUUGAGUCUGGCUCAUCUCUACAAGGAACAAUCAGAACUGUGGGCCACUGCAUUUAGUCAUAGAAGGGAUGCAGGAAACAGAGGCCUUCACUGUGGGUUUGUAGACCAGGCUCGGUGUGUUUUUCUUGCAUAUAAUUUUCAAAACUUAUAUUAAUUGUCAAUCAUUUAAAAUUGGGGCAGUUCUCAUACCAUUCACAUUUCCAGCUUUCCAGGAAGAGCCAGGAGCUUUGGCAGAGGUUGGCUCUGCUUUCUCCCUAGUGGCAAUGCCUAGUGCUGCAGACCCAUUGGGGUACAGCUGCUCGGUUUCUUCAGUGUAUAGCAUCUGUUCAUUUUAGGCUCACAAGCUGUUGACCUCAGGAUUUGGAACCACAAGUCUCCAAGAAUGAAUAUAGAUGCUUGUGAAUAUAGAUUCCUCCUACUGAGCUGUGGUCUCCACACCCAGUAUUAUCCGUACACUGAGCUGGUUAGAAAUGCAGAGUUCAGGCUUCAUGCGAGACCACUUCCUUUUCAUUAGACCCCCAGGGGUGCCUGUGUACAUUAAAUCUCUGACACUGCGGUCUUCUCUGCUCCUUCUGCAAUCCCUUGACUUUAAGAGGUUCAGCUUUAUUAACUUUUGAUCCAGCACAGAGCAUCUCUGCAUUUUACUGAGAGAUAAAAACAUCCCAUGAUGGUGUUUGAAUGCAUCUGUUGAAGACAUGCUUAUGAAUAGCACCUAGUUUGAGGCACUGUAAAUGUUCUUUCAAUUCCUCUAAAGGAACUGAAAACUAUCAUUUCCUUUUGUGGUUCUUUUUAUAAGUGAAGGAAUGUUGAAAUUAGUGGAAAAGAACACUCAUAAGAGGAAUAAGUGCUAGGAAGCUGCAUCUAUGCUUCCUCUUUUUCAAUUUAAUUUACUCAUUUGGCCAUAUUUAUAAGUACUUUCAAUUUAGUUUGGUGUGUGUGUUCUAGUUUAGGAAUAAUAAUGUAUAAUACACUACAUCUUGGCUUUCUCCUCUAUAAAAUGGGGGAACAGAAAACCUGCCUAACUUACUGGGCUGUCACAAGGAUUAAAUACGUUCAUAUGUGUAAGUAAAAUGUUCAGAUCAGAGCUGAAAUACAGUAAGUGCUCAUCAGUGCUAGCUCUUAUUAUUAUUAGCUGAGCUUACUCAGGUUUUGGUGUAAGUGUCUGGAGUUUACAGGGUGGAACUUAACAUUCAGAAAAGGGGGUUUAGAACAAGAAGCAGGAGGUGGUGGUGUACACAGCAGUGCUUUUGAAAUGAUCUCACUUACCACUUCACUUGGUCAUGCAGUGACUCUGCAUUAAGUAACCACCCCUCCUUUGGGGUUACAUUCUCAGUGACUUACCGUGGAAGAGGCAGAGGAGGAGAAAAACACCGAGAAAGACAGUUCUUGUCAUCCCAGUCAAAAGGAAGGUGGAGGGAAAGGCAUGUCCCACCUUUAAAGCUUUCCUGGGGGAUAAUAUAAUUACACAUUCAUGUUUGCAAUUUUCAAAAGGGGGAAAGGCUACUAAGCUUCAUCUAUUUCAUUGAGGAAGUACACAUAAAAAUUUUGUGAAAGAAGAAAAAUCAGCCAUUUGUCUUUAUAAAAAAUUUCCCAUAAAUCAUCUAAUUUCAGAACCCUUUAAAUUGAAAUGUCUUAUCACUGAAUACUAUUUCCUUUAUUUUCCCCUGAAUUAUAAUUGUUUAAUAUAAAAAUAUGAAAUGAAGUAGAUGAUGCUUCUAAAAUAAUUUCUUGUUAGAAAUCCUAACUAGUGGUUAAGCGGCAAACUUUCAUUUGAGUUUCUUCAAAAACUAAUGCUUUCUUCCAGGCAUGAUCACACACAUCUGUAAUCCUAGCACUCAGCAUGCUGAGGCAGGAGGAUCACCUCAAGUUCAAGGCCACCCUGGCAUAAAUAGUGAGUUAAAGGCCAACCUGAACUACAUAGUGAAACUCUGUCUCAAAAAUAAAUAAAUAAUAAACUAAUACUUUUAUUGUGAAAGUUCAUACAUAUAAUGAAAAGUAUCAGCUGAGAGUUAACAGAAGUUGGUAUUUAUUAAAAUGCAAGAGAAGGAAUUGUCAGAGUGCCAAAAAUAUCCACAUCUGGUAUUUAUAACCUACCUAUCUUCUUCAUGAAUUUUCCCAAUUUGAAUGUCGUUAAAAGGUUGGGAAAAAAAAUUCCUGAUGAACUGAAUCCAGUUAUAACUGAAAUCAACGACAAGUGCCUAAGUUCCAAACGGUUUAAACAGUAAAAAUUGCCCAAGAAAACAGGCAAAUUUUAUACUUGAACAGUCUCCUCUGUGUGGAACUUAAUCUCUACUUGUUAAAUGAAUAUAAAAAGGCCAAGUCAGUUGAUAAUGAAACUAUAAAACUGGCAAAAGGUUUGCUAGUUAAUUAUUUUGGAUAUACAAAUCUAUGUUGGUAUUUUGUUGAUUAUAUAAAGUAUGCAGUUUGACUUAUUUUUGCUUUUUGGUGCUGGGAAUGGAGCCCAAGGUGUCAUGUGUGCUAAAUGCCUGCUU